GUACUGAAUUAGAUUUCAAAAUAGGCUUAUUGUUACUAUAGAAGUUGAAUAUAAACUUGGGCUCAAGCAACAUUUGGAGCCAAAUUUCAAGUCUCUAGGUACAGUGGUUCUCAAAAUAUGAUAUUUUCGUCGAUAUUUUCGGUGAUUUUUGAACCCGAUAUCUUCAUUGGCUCUGUCCAUGUGCGUUUUUGGAACCAAAUGACCCAAAAUUUAUCCUGCUGUGGUUUAUUCUGUGUAUAUUUCCAUAUUCCAUGCAAACAUUUAUAGAUUUCCAAAUUUUUUGAAAUAACACCCCUCCCUAUUACUAUCCAACAUUAACAUUAACAUUUUUAUUGAUGUAUGUUUCUU